CCUACGAGAGGCAGCAGUGGGGAAUAUUGGGCAAUGGGCGCAAGCCUGACCCAGCAACGCCGCGUGAAGGAAGAAGGCUUUCGGGUUGUAAACUUCUUUUAUCAGGGACGAAGCAAGUGACGGUACCUGAUGAAUAAGCCACGGCUAACUACGUGCCAGCAGCCGCGGUAAUACGUAGGUGGCAAGCGUUAUCCGGAUUUACUGGGUGUAAAGAGCGAGUAGGCGGGAGGGCAAGUCAGAUGUGAGAACUAUGGGCUAAACCCAUAGCCUGCAUUUGAAACUGUCGUUCUUGAGUACUGGAGCGGCAGACGGAAUUCCUAGUGUAGCGGUGACAUGCGUAGAUAUUAGGAGGAACAACAGUGGCGAAGGCGGUCUGCUGGACAGCAACUGACGCUGAGGCGCGAAAGCGUGGGGAGCAAACAGGAUUAGAUACCCGGGUAGUC
rnacentral:rRNA from 1 species